rnacentral:rRNA from 1 species
UACGGAAGGCAGCAGUGGGGAAUAUUGCACAAUGGGCGCAAGCCUGAUGCAGCCAUGCCGCGUGUAUGAAGAAGGCCUUCGGGUUGUAAAGUACUUUCAGUCGUGAGGAAGGUGUUAAGGUUAAUAACCUUAGCAAUUGACGUUAGCGACAGAAGAAGCACCGGCUAACUCCGUGCCAGCAGCCGCGGUAAUACGGAGGGUGCGAGCGUUAAUCGGAAUUACUGGGCGUAAAGGGCACGCAGGCGGUUAAUUAAGUUGGAUGUGAAAUCCCCGGGCUUAACCUGGGAAUGGCAUUCAAGACUGGUUAGCUAGAGUCUUGUAGAGGGGGUAGAAUUCCAUGUGUAGCGGUGAAAUGCGUAGAGAUGUGAGGAAUACCGGUGGCGAAGGCGGCCCCUGGACAAAGACUGACGCUCAUGUGCGAAAGCGUGGGGAGCAAAC